GGGGCAAUCAAAGUGGAGGCCCUCUCCGAAGCUCGUCCGGAAAGUGCAUCCAUUUUGCUUGUCUC
rfam:Neotoma lepida isolate 417 scaffold_3649, whole genome shotgun sequence.